rnacentral:tRNA from 1 species
AGAGGUCGCCAAGCGGUAAGGCACCGGUUUUUGAUACCGGCAUUCCCUGGUUCGAAUCCAGGUACCCCAGCCA